GAAGACACACGACCCUCGGCUAUUUGAUGAAUUGCUAAAGCGAGAAUGCAUGAUAAUUCUUUUUCGAAGCCUUAUCAAAUCUAAUCAGAACAUAUAUAAUCGGUGCAACGAUCGGUGGCGCCUGAUAUGCAACAUGUGCACCAGUUCUAAGUGUCCAUUUGAUUGAUGAAACCCAAGAAAAAUCAGAUCAAGUGGAGGGAAGACAAAUUUUAAUCAACCUAUUAACCAAGAUUUUACUACGGUUUGGUCAUGGAAAGAAAUCAUCCGUGUCUGAAAGGAAGGAAAUGUGUUUGCUAAGGAUUUCUGUAUGAGUAAGUUAAGGUAUAUGCUGUAUCGUUCAAUUCGCGUUAUGAAGUUCUUUGAAAAGCAGUUAGAUUAUGAAGCAAA